rnacentral:rRNA from 1 species
AGUGAACGCUGGCGGCAGGCCUAACACAUGCCAGUCGAACGGCAGCACAAGAGAGCUUGCUCUCUGGGUGGCGAGUGGCGGACGGGUGAGGAAUGCAUCGGAAUCUGCCCAUUUGUGGGGGAUAACCUCGGGAAACCGGGACUAAUACCGCAUACGACCUACGGGUGAAAGCAGGGGAUCUUCGGACCUUGCGCAGAUGGAUGAGCCGAUGCCGGAUUAGCUAGUUGGAGGGGUAAAGGCCCACCAAGGCGACGAUCCGUAGCUGGUCUGAGAGGAUGAUCAGCCACACUGGGACUGAGACACGGCCCAGACUCCUAAGGGAGGCAGCAGUGGGGAAUAUUGGACAAUGGGCGCAAGCCUGAUCCAGCCAUGCCGCGUGUGUGAAGAAGGCCUUCGGGUUGUAAAGCACUUUUGUUGGGAAAGAAAAGCAGCCGGUUAAUACCCGGUUGUCAUGACGGUACCCAAAGAAUAAGCACCGGCUAACUUCGUG